rnacentral:rRNA from 1 species
UACGAAGGGGGCUAGCGUUGUUCGGAAUUACUGGGCGUAAAGCGCGCGCAGGCGGCUAUCCAAGUCAGUGGUGAAAGCCCGGAGCUCAACUCCGGAUCUGCGGUGGGUACGGGCAGACUAGAGUGAUGUAGGGGAGACUGGAAUUCCUGGUGUAGCGGUGAAAUGCGCAGAUAUCAGGAGGAACACCGAUGGCGAAGGCAGGUCUCGUGGGCAUUAACUGACGCUGGAGGAGCGAAAGCAUGGGGAGCGAACAGG